CCUUCCUUCUGCCUCCUGGGAAACCUGGUCUUAACUGCAAUACUCAUCCUAAGAGGCAUGAAAACUGGGCAUUGGCAGGAGCUCUGUUCUUCAGGCUCUUCCUCUACCAAGGAGUCGGACACAGGGUUUCGCCAUGUUACCUGGGCUGGUGUCUAACUCCUGGGCUCAAGCGAUCCUCCCACCUCAGCCUCUCAAAGCGCUGGAAUUACAGGUGUGAGCCACCAUGCCCUGCCUCUGAUAGGAUUUUUCACCAAACAUCAGCCAGGAAUCUAAUGUCAGCUCUUUCCAGAGGAAUUAAGAGCCUUGGAAACAAAGUGCAGGCCUCAAGCAAAGCUUAGAUUUGGGAUUCUGUCUCCCCAUCCACCCCAAACAGCGAGACCUGUACCAACCAAUGGUCAAAGACCAUGAAACGAGGCAGCACCAACCAGACACUUACAGGCCCAGCAAGUGCCACACAGGAGUGACAUGGCAGGUAAGGUCCACAGCCAA